UACGAAGGGGCUAGCGUUGCUCGGAAUCACUGGGCGUAAAGCGCACGUAGGCGGAUUGCUAAGUCAGGGGUGAAAUCCUGGAGCUCAACUCCAGAACUGCCUUUGAUACUGGACGAUCUUCGAGUCCGGGAGAGGUGAGUGGAACUGCGAGUGUAGAGGUGAAAUUCGUAGAUAUUCGCAAGAACACCAGUGGCGAAGGCGGCUCACUGGCCCGGUACUGACGCUGAGGUGCGAAAGCGUGGGGAGCAAACAGGG
rnacentral:rRNA from 1 species